rnacentral:rRNA from 1 species
CCCGCACAAGCGGUGGAGUAUGUGGUUUAAUUCGAUGCAACGCGAAGAACCUUACCUGGUCUUGACAUCCCGGAGACCCUUAGGAAACUAGGGGGUGCUUCCAUCUGGAAGAAUCUGGAGACAGGUGCUGCAUGGCUGUCGUCAGCUCGUGUCGUGAGAUGUUGGGUUAAGUCCCGCAACGAGCGCAACCCUUGCCUUUAGUUGCCAGCAGUUCGGCUGGGCACUCUAAAGGGACUGCCGGUGUUAAACCGGAGGAAGGUGGGGAUGACGUCAAGUCCUCAUGGCCUUUAUGACCAGGGCUACACACGUACUACAAUGGCCGAUACAAAGGGCAGCGACACUGCGAGGUGAAGCCAAUCCCGUAAAAUCGGUCUCAGUCCGGAUUGGAGUCUGCAACUCGACUCCAUGAAGUUGGAUUCGCUAGUAAUCGCGCAUCAGCCAUGGCGCGGUGAAUACGUUCCCGGGCCUU